GAACUCCCAUGCAAGGCAACGGGAGGCUGGAUAUGAGAGCAGCCCAGAGCGCAAUCCAAAGCAGAGAGUACGGAUUCAAGUUCUCACUCUAUGAUUCCUUUUGCUUCAAGUUGGGAAAGGUUGUCAGUGAAGUUUUAGCGACAUGUGAAGAAUUAAUGAACAUUGCAAAUUUUCAGUGAGACACUGUGCUGAACAGGAGUUGAGUAACUUGGACCUGGAGAGACUUUGGCUAACGGCACCACUGGAGGGGCCUGGGAGGAACAGCUUAUUCUCCUUGAUUGUUUUCUCUAAACCAUCUGUAGUUUUCAACCAAAUCUAUUUGGAAGUAAAAUAAGCUGCAGCACAUGGUGAGUCACACGGCAUUUGUCACCAUGUCACCUUGCAAGAGAAGUCAUUUAGAGACAGCAAAGGGACCAACGUCCUUUACAUACUGAUGAUGACACCUGGGUAUAUCCGGGUCAAGGCCAGGAUGGUGGAGCACGAGAUUAUACUGCCUCCUCUUAGGAGUUGGAAACUGAUAAAUGUGUAAUGCUAACAACCUCCGAAGCCUCACACUUUUAAAUGUACUAUUUUCAGAGCGAGAGCCUUGUCUUCUCUAGUACCUUCUCUUUGGAAGGAAACACACACACAUGCAAGCAGGCACACAUGCAUAACCCCAAGCCAUAAAUAACUGUAUAAUGAAGCCUCAUGCUCUGUGCUUAGGUUUUCUUUGGAUAAUAAGGUUGACAGAGUUUGUCCUUUAAGCACCCCAUUUAUAUAAUUAUAAAUAAAUAUACAGAUGCAUUUGUAAAAUAAGUAUGCUCUCCCUUCUAGUGCCCUUCUCCCUCUGAGAGUGACAUUGAAACAUGUUAAAAAACAGUCUGCAAAUGAAAUAAAGCUCAUCCUUAUGUUAUGCUGAAAACUUAAAUAUAUUAACCCCCAUCUUU